rnacentral:rRNA from 1 species
AUUUAAAGAGGUACGCGAGCUGGGUUUAGAACGUCGUGAGACAGUUCGGUCCCUAUCUACCGUGGGCGCUGGAAAUUUGAGAGGAUCUGCUCCUAGUACGAGAGGACCAGAGUGGACGAACCUCUGGUGUACCGGUUGUGACGCCAGUCGCAUCGCCGGGUAGCUAUGUUCGGAAGGGAUAACCGCUGAAAGCAUCUAAGCGGGAAGCCUACCUCAAGAUAAGAUUUCCCUAGGACUUUAUGUCCUCUAAAGAGCCGUUCGAGACUAGGACGUUGAUAGGUUGGAUGUGGAAGCAUAGUGAUAUGUGAAGCUGACCAAUACUAAUUGCUCGUGAGGCUUGACUAUACAACACCCAAGCAGUUG